UCCAUCCACGAGUGAACCACUAGAUCCUCUUCAGACGUUCAGUCGUAGUACACGCCAAUAUACGAAGCGCUUUUUCCUUUUAAUUUGCCCGUUUUUCUUUUCCUUUGCAGCGGGAAAGUGACAAAUUAAGAUAAUAUGUGGAAUAGUUUGUCCGUGUAACUUAUUUAAUCUGUUGACUUCUUCUGUCUGUUGUUGUAUAUUUGACAAGUGUUUGUUGCUGAACAAAAUAUAUUCUAAUAACGAUGACAAGUGUGAAGGCUUGGUCACUGCUUCUACUGCCGUUUUCUCUGGUCUCUAUGGGUAAAGCAGAGUGUCCAGUUCCUUCUAUGAAUGGCAAAUUUGUCUUGUCACUGGAAUCCAUACUGAAGAAUAGCUUCGCAGACGAUUCAGAAGCGCUUUUGGAAUGUGCUAAAGGAUAUGAGAGAGAUAAAGGUCCAACUUCAAUUACCUGUGUGAACGGGGUCUGGAGUGAAGUGAAAUUAAUCUGCAAAAAGGUAGAUUGUGGACAACCUAAACCUUCACCACAUAUGACCUACUCCAUCCGUGAUGGAACAUUGUUUGGUGCCUACAUACAACCCGUAUGUGAGACAGGAUAUGAUCUGGAAGGAUCAAGCCACAGGCAAUGUCUUGUUUCUGGCUGGAGUGGAAAAGCUGAAUGUAUAUUGUCAGAAUGCGAUUUUCCUGAUCCAAUUGAGCAUGGAGAGAGGUUUGGACCUGAGAAUCCUGUGUUUAAUGAUGUCAUUACAUAUUCGUGCAAUGAUAAGUACACCCUCGUUGGCAACAGCUCCAUUACAUGUGGUGAAUACGGGGAGUAUAGUUCACCGCCUCCAAUAUGCAUUGUCAUGACAACACCGACAGAAGCAAGCACUACCACAAACAAAGCCACAACAACAGACACAACAACAGUCUCCACCCGUUCACAUGGGGAGGAAGAAAUACUGGAGAAAAUAAUUAUCAUAACAUUGACAAAAGCAAGCACUACCACAAACAAAGCCACAACGACAGACAUGACAACAGCCUCCAACCGUUCACAUGGAAGAAUUGUAGAAAAGCCCACUAAUGGCUCUUCAAUUGCAGGUAUCGUGGGGAUCUGUAUCGUGGUGAUCUUUGCAGGUAUCGUGGUGAUCUUUGCAGGUAUCGUGGUGAUCUGUGAGUAUAUUAAUUAUUACAUACUGUACAUAUUGUAUCUAUUGAUUGUUCAUUUCCUUUUGUUCAUGUAUCUCACUUUUUCUUAUAACACAACUGAUCUUAUAUGUUAACAUUUGAAGGUAUCUUGGGGAUAGUUGUCGUUGUCGUUGCCGGUGUGUAUAUGAAUUAUUUGGAUUGAGCAAUGUACAGUAUAGAUAGUGUAUAUAUACCAUUAGUUUUGGGGUCAUUAAAAUGUUUUUAAUGCCUUUUUAUAUUAUUAUUUUCUGCAAGGAUACAUUAAAUGGAUCUAAAAUGACUUUAAAUACAUUUAUCAAUGUGCAGAAGAUUUUUAUUUACAAUUUAUUACUGUAAAAUUCCUAUAACGGUGUCCACAGAAAUACCAAGAAGCAUUGAAGACUGGAGUAAAAAUUCAGAUUUGCUUCAGGAAUAAAUUGCAUUUUCACAUAAGAAAUUUUCGACUUUUAAAAAAACGUACUGAGCACAUAUUUUUGAGUGGUACUGUAUGGUGUCAUGCUUUGGUGCCAUUGAUUGUGAUGCACAGCUGUUCUUGACCUCAUUGCAAAGCAUUUGAAAUUUGAAAUUAUCUUCAUAUGCUCCAUAGUUGUGAUUUGGAAAUAUUUAAAACAAAGAGGUUCAUACGAUACUGGUGAAGAACUGAGGGCAAAAGAAGAUUUAUUACUAAUUCAAAGUGUCUAAACUCAAGGGCAAUCAAUCGGACGGCUCCUUUGCUUUAGUGUUACUCUCCUGCACAUGGAUUCACUCAAAUUGAAACAUUUUUUUGUUCUAUUAUUUAAAUUAAUUAUUGUAUUUUGCUACAAAAUGUUUGGCUUUUACACAUAUAUUACAGUAAUUGAUAGAAGCACCAGAUGAUAUUUUUGUAUAUUUGAAUAAAGAUUGUUUUUUAAGUACUU